UUGCGCCUGCGGCGGACCCGGCACGAGGCUUUAAAAAGCUUCGCAGGCAGCGCCUUAGUGUACGGCCCGGUACAUCCCAGAAUUUUCUGGGCUUUAAAGUCUU
rnacentral:sRNA from 1 species